UUAAUACCGGAUAGAUCAAAGAAACUGGAAUGUUCUCUGGUCAAAAACUCCGGUGCCCAAGGAUGGGUCUGCGGCCUAUCAGGUAGUAGUGGGUGUAACGUACCUACUAGCCUACGACGGGUAAGGGUUGUGAGAGCAAGAGCCCUGAGAUGGAUUCUGAGACAUGAAUCCAGGCCCUACGGGGUGCAGCAGGCGCGAAAACUUUACACUGCGGGAAACCGCGAUAAGGGGACCCCAAGUGCCAGCACCUAGUGCUGGCUGUCCAGCUGUCCAAAUAACAGUUGUUAGCAAGGGCCGGGCAAGACCAGUGCCAGCCGCCGCGGUAACACCGGCGGCCCGAGUGGUAGCCGUUAUUAUUGGGUUUAAAGGGUCCGUAGCCGGCCUAUUAAGUCCCUUGGGAAAUCUGGCGACUCAAUCGUCAGGCGUUCA
rnacentral:rRNA from 1 species